rnacentral:misc_RNA from 1 species
GAAAAAUGCUGUUGUCUCAGAAGAAAAGAAGAAAUUAGUAGCAUAUCACGAAGCCGGACAUGCCCUUGUGGGUGCACUCAUGCCCGAGUACGAUCCCGUUGCAAAGAUCUCCAUCAUCCCCCGAGGUCAAGCUGGAGGCUUAACUUUCUUCGCCCCAAGUGAAGAGAGGCUCGAGUCCGGACUAUACAGCAGAAGCUACCUGGAGAACCAGAUGGCUGUUGCUCUGGGUGGAAGGGUAGCUGAAGAGGUGAUCUUCGGAACCGAGAAUGUCACCACGGGGGCCUCGAACGAUUUCAUGCAGGUUUCUCGUGUGGCAAGGCAAAUGGUCGAGAGAUUCGGAUUCAGCAAGAAGAUAGGGCAGGUGGCUGUAGGCAGCUCAGGUGGAAAUCCAUUCCUUGGCCAGCAGAUGUCGUCCCAAAAGGACUACUCCAUGGCGACUGCUGAUGUCGUCGAUUCUGAGGUGAGGGAACUUGUGGAGAAGGCUUAUGCUAGGGCGAAGCUGAUCAUUAAUACCCAUAUUGAUAUCCUUCAUAAGUUGGCGCAACUUCUCAUCGAGAAGGAGAGCGUGGAUGGGGAGGAGUUUAUGAGCUUGUUCAUCGAAGGCAAAGCAGAGCUAUUUAUCGCGUGAUCGAGUCGAGUAUCUCCUUGAUUGCAAUCUGUUGUAGUUUUAUGUUGAUAAUGUAUUAGAACUGAGG